rnacentral:rRNA from 1 species
UACGUAGGGUGCGAGCGUUGUCCGGAAUUAUUGGGCGUAAAGAGCUUGUAGGCGGUUUGUCGCGUCUGCUGUGAAAAUCCGGGGCUCAACCCCGGACUUGCAGUGGGUACGGGCAGACUAGAGUGUGGUAGGGGAGACUGGAAUUCCUGGUGUAGCGGUGAAAUGCGCAGAUAUCAGGAGGAACACCGGUGGCGAAGGCGGGUCUCUGGGCCGAAAUUGACGCUGAGGAGCGAAAGCGUGGGGAGCAAACAGG